UACGUAGGGCGCAAGCGUUGUCCGGAAUUAUUGGGCGUAAAGAGCUCGUAGGCGGCUUGUUGCGUCGACUGUGAAAACCCGCGGCUUAACUGCGGGCUUGCAGUUGAUACGGGCAGGCUAGAGUUCGGUAGGGGGAGACUGGAAUUCCUGGUGUAGCGGUGAAAUGCGCAGAUAUCAGGAGGAACACCGGUGGCGAAGGCGGGUCUCUGGGCCGAUACUGACGCUGAGGAGCGAAAGCGUGGGGAGCGAACAGG
rnacentral:rRNA from 1 species